UUGGACUCGGGGGCAGUACCCGACGCCUCCACCAAAAUAUAAUAAAAAGAAAUUAUAUUUUGGUGGGGGCGAAACAGGAUCGACAAAAGUGUAAAGAUUGCUCUUUUACUCGGCAUUGUACCACCGUUAUCGGACUAACUUAGUAGUUGCAAAUGACAACUAUGCGGAAGCGCGUCUCGCUGCUUAGUGCAGUGCGAAAGCUUCAAAUUAAGCCUUAAAUCGUCGCAGAUUUAAGCGGAGUUCGGAGG
rnacentral:tmRNA from 1 species